UGGGGAAUUUUGGGCAAUGGGGGAAACCCUGACCCAGCAACGCCGCGUGAAGGAUGAAGUAUUUCGGUAUGUAAACUUCGAAAGAAUAGGAAGAAUAAAUGACGGUACUAUUUAUAAGGUCCGGCUAACUACGUGCCAGCAGCCGCGGUAAUACGUAGGGACCAAGCGUUGUUCGGAUUUACUGGGCGUAAAGGGCGCGUAGGCGGCAUGACAAGUCACUUGUGAAAUCUCUGGGCUUAACCCAGAACGGCCAAGUGAUACUGUCGCGCUAGAGUGCAGAAGGGGCAAUCGGAAUUCUUGGUGUAGCGGUGAAAUGCGUAGAUAUCAAGAGGAACACCUGAGGUGAAGACGGGUUGCUGGGCUGACACUGACGCUGAGGCGCGAAAGCCAGGGGAGCAAACGGGGAUUAGAUACCCUAGUAGUCCCUGAGCGGGCUGGCAAGGCGCAU
rnacentral:rRNA from 1 species